rnacentral:lncRNA from 1 species
GAGUAAUUGUGCUAAAAUAUUUGCAAAGUGAAUCUUCUCAGAAACUUUGAAUCUUUUUCUGAUGCUAAAGAGUUCUACAACACGGAAAUCCAUCAUUUCAUUAUGAGUUUCUGUUCAUGGUACUGACCUAAGGGCCAAGAUACAAAGUCAAGUGAGAGACAGAGCAUAUCCUCAAGGAGCAGAUUGUCUAACGGGGAAGAGAGGCUUGAAACUCACCCAUGUUGUAUGCCACCACAGAGUUUGAAUAUGUACAAGGGCAUCUCCAGUCAUUGUACUUGGGAGGAGGAGAUGAAGGCACCAUUUCCCUCUUUAUCUGCAAUUGAGUAGUUACUGAGAGAGUUGUUUACAGAGCUCUUUAUUCAUUCAUUCAGAUAUUAUUCAUUGUUAAAAAUACAUAAUUUGAUAUGUAAAUUAUAUCUUAAUAAAAUUGUUUUUUAAAAGCCAUUUGUAGUAUACUUUAAUGUCUUUUCCCCUAGGCCAGCAUAGUUUGGCACAUAAAGCCUUCUUGACUGAGUUGACUGUGUGGCCUGUUUGGGUCUCUCUGCAGUGUUUACCAGCUCUUCUGGCAUACGUCCCAGAAUGACAAUCCUUUUUCCUUUCAGAUUAUGACACUGGAUGUGAACUCAAAUCCCCUUAACUCAGAAACUUACUGUUCAAACCUCCAGAAAAACGCUGGACAAAAUCCUCAUCAAUAAAAACAGAAUAAUUGAAUGUGAUGCUUGGAAAUGUUCCCAGCAAUGUCCUUAACCUUGGAAAAAAAAAUCCCUAGUCUAUAAUGUUUCUACUCACUUAUCCACGGAAAUAGAAUUGAAGGGUAAAUCAGAACAAGCAGAAGUCCUAUUAGUGUGGAGGUUCUGGAGAAGAGGUUGCCUGGUUACUUUUUUCAGCGGAGAAGUUAGAAAAGAACACCACAACAUGAGGGGGAACAUAGUCCUCCUUUCAAAAAGUUUAUCUCUAAAAGAUUAAAAACAAAAACAAAAACAAACCAAAGCGUAACAUCAUAACCUGGAGCAAUCAGGUUUAUUUAAAUAUAUAAAUAUGAUACAAAUGUCUAAAUAUGGAGCAGAUUUUUCUUGGUUAAAAAAACGAGGUUCUGGCUGGGCACGGUGGCUGACACCUGUAAUCCCAGCACUUUGGGAGGCCAAGGCAGGUGGAUUGCUUGAGCUCAGAAGUUUGAGAUCAGCCUG